rnacentral:rRNA from 1 species
UACGUAGGGACCAAGCGUUGUUCGGAUUUACUGGGCGUAAAGGGCGCGUAGGCGGCGUGGUAAGUCACUUGUGAAAUCUCUGAGCUUAACUCAGAACGGCCAAGUGAUACUGCUGUGCUAGAGUGCAGAAGGGGCAAUCGGAAUUCUUGGUGUAGCGGUGAAAAUGCGUAGAUAUCAAGAGGAACACCUGAGGUGAAGACGGGUUGCUGGGCUGACACUGACGCUGAGGCGCGAAAGCCAGGGGAGCAAACGGG